rnacentral:rRNA from 1 species
GCGAUAAGGGAACCUCGAGUGCCAGGUUACAAAUCUGGCUGUCGAGAUGCCUAAAAAGCAUUCAUAGCAAGGGCCGGGCAAGACCGGUGCCAGCCGCCGCGGUAACACCGGCGGCUCGAGUGGUAACCGUUAUUAUUGGGUCUAAAGGGUCUGUAGCCGGCCGGAUAAGUCUCUUGAGAAAUCUGGCAGCUUAACUGUCAGGCUUUCAGGAGAUACUGUCUGGCUCGAGGCCGGGAGAGGUGAGAGGUACUUCAGGGGUAGGGGUGAAAUCUUGUAAUCCUUGAAGGACCACCAGUGGCGAAGGCGUCUCACCAGAACGGACCUGACGGCAAGGGAUGAAAGCUAGGGGCACGAACCGGAUUAGAUACCCGGGUAGUCCUAGCCGUAAACGAUACUCGCUAGGUGUCGGCCACGGUGCGACCGUUGUCGGUGCCGUAGGGAAGCCGUGAAGCGAGCCACCUGGGAAGUACGGCCGCAAGGCUGAAACUUAAAGGAAUUGGCGGGGGAGCACCACAACGGGUGGAGCUUGCGGUUUAAUUGGAUUCAACGCCGGAAAUCUUACCGGGACCGACAGCAAUAUGAAGGCCAGGCUGAAGACUUUGCCGGAUUAGCUGAGAGGUGGUGCAUGGCCGUCGUCAGUUCGUACUGUGAAGCAUCCUGUUAAGUCAGGUAACGAGCGAGACCCA